rnacentral:rRNA from 1 species
CACGUAGGGCGCAAGCGUUGUCCGGCAUUACUGGGCGUAAAGUGUGCGCAGGCGGCCGCGCAAGUCGAGUGUGAAAGCCCCGAGCUUAACUUGGGAAUUGCGCUCGAAACUACGUGGCUGGAGUGUGGCAGAGGAAGGUGGAAUUCCACGUGUAGCGGUGAAAUGCGUAGAGAUGUGGAGGAACACCGAUGGCGAAGGCAGCCUUCUGGGCCAACACUGACGCUCAUGCACGAAAGCGUGGGGAGCAAACAGG